rnacentral:rRNA from 1 species
UGGGGAAUUUUGCGCAAUGGGCGAAAGCCUGACGCAGCAACGCCGCGUGGGUGAUGAAGGUCUUCGGAUCGUAAAACCCUGUCGUCGGGGACGAAGGUUGUAUGCCUAACAGGUGUGCAAUUUGACGGUACCCGGAGAGGAAGCCCCGGCUAACUCUGUGCCAGCAGCCGCGGUAAUACAGAGGGGGCAAGCGUUAUUCGGAAUUAUUGGGCGUAAAGGGCGCGUAGGCGGUUUUUUAAGUCAGAUGUGUAAUCCCCGAGCUCAACUUGGGAACUGCAUCUGAGACUGGAAGGCUAGAGUACUGGAGAGGGUGGUAGAAUUCCACGUGUAGCGGUGAAAUGCGUAGAGAUGUGGAGGAAUACCAGUGGCGAAGGCGGCCACCUGGACAGUAACUGACGCU